rnacentral:rRNA from 1 species
UAGGGAAUCUUCCGCAAUGGACGAAAGUCUGACGGAGCAACGCCGCGUGAGCGAAGAAGGUCUUCGGAUCGUAAAGCUCUGUUGUCAGGGAAGCGGUACCUGACGAGGAAGCCACGGUAACUACGUGCCACAGCCGCGGUAAAACCGGUUACUCCUACGG